UUGCUAUCUGCGAUAUGGAAGAUUCGAACCUGCCGCAGGUUCGGGUCGAACGCAGUGAGACAACGGAGCCGUUUACGGCGACGGCCCGUAGGGCGAGCGAAGCAAGUCAUCCUGCACGACCCACCA
rnacentral:sRNA from 1 species